rnacentral:lncRNA from 1 species
CUACCAAAGCCGUGGCGCAUCUCGGAAGUCCCUCCUGUCUUCAGGCCAAUCCGAUUUGGGAAAAGCAGAUGGGGCUGUAGAGGCCGGGUGCCUCCAUGCUGCUCUUCCGGACUUCUGUCACUGCAGAUUCAUCCCACUCCCCCACUGUACUCCAGUGCUCUCCCUUCGACACUCCAGUCAAAGUGAGCUGUUUAUUCAUUGCCUUGGGCCUUUCUUGUUGGGCGGGACAAGCAGCAGGUGUCUCUAGUCAGCCAUCUUGCUGACAUUACUCCUGGCUCCAAUUCUUUUUUUUUUUUUUUUUUUUUGAGACGGAGUCUCGCCUUGUUGCCCAGGCUGGAGUGCAGUGGCGCAAUCUCAGCUCACUGCAACUUCUGCCUCCCGGGUUCAAGUGAUUCUCCUACCUCAGCCUCCCGAGUAGCUGGGAUUACAGGUGUCUGCCACCAUGCUCGGCUAAUUUUUUGUAUUUUUUUAGUAGAGAUGGGGUUUCACCAUGUUGGCCAGGCUGGUC